rnacentral:rRNA from 1 species
UACGUAGGGGGCAAGCGUUAUCCGGAUUUACUGGGUGUAAAGGGAGCGUAGACGGUAUGGCAAGUCUGAUGUGAAAACCCGGGGCUCAACCCCGGGACUGCAUUGGAAACUGUCGGACUAGAGUGUCGGAGAGGCAAGUGGAAUUCCUAGUGUAGCGGUGAAAUGCGUAGAUAUUAGGAGGAACACCAGUGGCGAAGGCGGCUUGCUGGACGAUGACUGACGUUGAGGCUCGAAAGCGUGGGGAGCGAACAGG